AGUUUAUAGAUGCGUUACAUCAAUUACAUUCGGUUUAAAUUAUAUGAGUUUAUGUAUUGACAGAGGGAAACCUCUUCCUCGUUAAAGAAAACAGGCCUCCAUCUCACAGGUGCACAGGUGUGUGUGGAUGAAAGAGAAGGCGUGCACAUGCCCCGGUGAAGAGGCCAGCGACAACCAACUCUACAUUCAUUCGAUAAUGAUCCUUCCGCAGGUUCACCUACGGAAA
rnacentral:misc_RNA from 1 species